GAUGAACGCUGGCGGCGUGCUUAACACAUGCAAGUCGAACGGGAAUUAUUUUAUUGAAACUUCGGUCGAUUUCAUUUAAUUCUAGUGGCGGACGGGUGAGUAACGCGUGGGUAACCUGCCUUAUACAGGGGGAUAACAGUCAGAAAUGGCUGCUAAUACCGCAUAAGCGCACAGAGCUGCAUGGCUCAGUGUGAAAAACUCCGGUGGUAUAAGAUGGACCCGCGUUGGAUUAGCUUGUUGGCAGGGUAACGGCCUACCAAGGCGACGAUCCAUAGCCGGCCUGGGAGGGUGAACGGCCACAUUGGGACUGAGACACGGCCCAGACUCCUACGGGAGGCAGCAGUGGGGAAUAUUGCACAAUGGGGGAAACCCUGAUGCAGCGACGCCGCGUGAAGGAAGAAGUAUCUCGGUAUGUAAACUUCUAUCAGCAGGGAAGAUAGUGACGGUACCUGACUAAGAAGCCCCGGCUAACUACGUG
rnacentral:rRNA from 1 species